GAAAAAUGGGGACGAAAAACAAGUGUUGUGUUUAUAAUUUUGUUCAGUGUAGACAGAUACUUUGAGAAGAAUGGGUUUAAAUACGGGAUGACUGAAACCCCAGGACAUGGCCAGCUGUGGGUUAUAAAAAAUUCAGGAAGUUUGGCCCAAGGUCGCCUGAUCAUGCAAGGUUUUAAGAUUUAUUUUUAAACGCCUUUUCAUUGGAAUUAAUGAGCACAACCACAAUUAAUGAAACAUUUAAUGAAACGGAAGGAGAAGAAACGAGGAGGGGGGGGGGAUGGGACACGCAACAGGAACGAUAAGAGCGUGUCCGUCGCGUGCAGAGAUGAAAAACGGUACCUCUCACCACGAGGCGAGGGCGGCAGCCUCCUCACGCGCAGGGGAAGAGAUGCGCGAGUGGCGGCAAACGCAAUUACACGAGGCACGAGCUCAAGGACUGAAGCACGCUGAUUACACAAAGCCUCGAGAGUCUUAAGUUGGACACUACAUCGCACGGAGAGCGAUUUCCUGCCAAAUUGACCUCUCAUUUGUUUUCGACCCAGCUGUGGACAGCCUGUGGAAGAAGAAUGACAUUUCCCUUGAAGAGAAACCCACAACACAUUUUGAGACCUGAAAUAAAACCAAAUAAUAGAUCAAGAAA